rfam:Ovis aries breed Texel chromosome 10, whole genome shotgun sequence.
UCCCUGGUGGCUCAGAUGGUAAAGAAUCUGCCUGCAGUGCAGGAGACCCAGGAUUGAUCCCUGGAUUGGGAA